GUUGGACCCUUCACCUCAGGGAUUACCCCCAGGGGUAGGACCCUUCACCUCAGGGAUUACCCCCCAGGGUAGGACCCUUCACCUCAGGGAUUACCCCCCAGGGUAGGACCCAUCACCUCAGGGAUUACCCCCAAGGUAGGACCCUUCACCUCAGGGAUUACCCCCCAGGGUUGGACCCUUCACCUCAGGGAUUACCCCCAAGGGUAGGACCCUUCACCUCAGGGACUACCCCCUAGGGUAGGACCCUUCACCUCAGGGAUUACCCCCCAGGGUAGGACCCUCACCUCUGGGAUUACCCCCCAGGGUAGGACCCAUCACCUCAGGGAUUACCCCCCAGGGUUGGACCCUUCACCUCAGGGAAUCCCCCCCACGGUUGGACCCUCCACCUCAGGGAUUACCCCCUAGGGUAGGACCCUCCACCUCAGGGAUUACCCCCAAGGUAGGACCCUUCACCUCAGGGAUUACCCCCCAGGGUAGGACCCAUCACCUCAGGGAUUACCCCCCAGGGUUGGACCCUUCACCUCAGGGAUUACCCCCUAGGGUAGGACCCCUUCACCUCAGGGAUUACCCCCCAGGGUAGGACCUUCCACCUCAGGGAUUACCCCCCAGGGUAGGACCCUUCACCUCAGGGAUUACCCCCCACUCCAACUCCUGGGCCAGUUCCGCUCAAUCACCGACUCGUAACCUCAAGGAUUACGCCACACGUCUGCCCCUCCUUCUGCUUUCUGCCCCCGGAGGACAGGAUGAAGACUACGGCUCUGUGGAUGACGAUGAGUGCGUUGUGAAAGGACUUCCUGGAGGGAGGUUCUUUAGGGAGGGGAGGAGGUGGUGGGUCUGAAGUGGACUAGCAGGGCCUGGGAACCGUGUGUGAACAGUGUAUCUUACGCCCAGAAUUUGAUCAAUUUCCAUUCUCAUUUAUUGUUACUGUGGAUCAUAUCCAGCACUCAGGAAUAUAUAGGCCUGCAAUAGAUUUCUGCUGUAUUUUAGAUGGUUUUUGUAUUGUAUUUUGACAAAUUUACAAUUUAAUUCUUUAUCAGAUUUGUACUUUUGUGUGGUUUUGCAACGUAAAUGUAAGCCUAUUUGUUCCAUGUUAAUAAAACCC
ensembl:lncRNA